rnacentral:misc_RNA from 1 species
GUUGAAGAACGUAGCGAAAUGCGAUAAGUAAUGUGAAUUGCAGAAUUCAGUGAAUCAUCGAAUCUUUGAACGCACAUUGCGCCCGCCAGUAUUCUGGCGGGCAUGCCUGUUCGAGCGUCAUUUCAACCAUCAAGCCCCCGGCUUGUGUUGGGGACCUGCGGCUGCCGCAGGCCCUGAAAAGCAGUGGCGGGCUCGCUGUCACACCGAGCGUAGUAGCAUACAUCUCGCUCUGGGCGUGCUGCGGGUUCCGGCCGUUAAACCACCUUCAUAACCCAAGGUUGACCUCGGAUCAGGUAGGAAGACCCGCUGAACUUAAGCAUAUCAAUAAGCGGAGGA